rnacentral:ribozyme from 1 species
CUAGUCAGUUCGUGAGAAUAGACUAGUCUUCAGAAGAUGACAAGCCUGUGGGGCGUAAGUAGUAUUUUUAAGCGGGAGAAGAAGAGUGGCAAUUGCUCUAAUUAGUACUGAUAAUUGCAAAUAUUACGAUCGUGCGGACGUUAAAAUCAGGU